CAGGGUUCUGUUGUUAGAUGUAGAUCAUAUUUUCAGAAUCUAGAUCCUUGACACGUCUGUCAAAAUCUAUGAAAUAACAAUGGGUCUUUUUGGAAAAACUCCAGAGAAAAACCCAAAAGAGCAGGUACAAGAAUGGACUCAUAAAUUAAGAAAAGAAAGCUAUCAGCUAGAUCGACAGGUUAGGGCCAUUCAACGAGAAGAAGAAAAAGUAAAGAAAUCCUUGAAGGAAGCAGCUAAAAAGGGGGACAAGGAUGUUUGUAAAAUCCUUGCCAAAGAAAUCAUCCGUGCACGAAAAGCAUGUAAUAAAAUAUACACGUCAAAGGCACACUUAAAUUCAGUUUCUUUACAAAUGAAAAAUCAACUGGCUGCAAUUAGAGUAGCAGGUUCAGUUUCUAAGUCAACUGAAGUUAUGCAAGCUAUGCAAGCUCUUAUAAAAGUACCCGAAGUAGCAGCUACGAUGAGAGAAUUGUCCAAAGAAAUGAUGAAAGCAGGAAUUAUUGAAGAAAUGCUCGAUGAAACUAUGGAUUCGAUAGAAGACUCCGAGGAAAUAGAGGAUGAAGCAGAUGAGGAAGUUGAUAAGAUUUUGUGGGAACUCACUGCUGGGCAAUUAGGUACGGCGCCUGCAAUUGUAACAGAAACCCCUGGUGCUUCAACAUCUAAAGAAGAACCUGAAGAAGCUUCUGAUACAGAAUUAGAAGAAAUGAAAAACAGGUUACAAGGUCUCCGGAGUUAAAUUGAUGAAACAAAUCAAUUGAAUAAAUUUAAUUCGUGCCUACAAUUAGUAAAUCAGACGCUUUUCCAGUAUUCAAUAACACACUUGCUUAAAGCGUUCUUUCGCACUGAUUUUAAUUACUGUAUUUAUUUUUUCUUCUAGAUCGAUUUAGAAGCUGGCUUCAUGUCUGAUAAGUAGCUGCAAUGAUUCAUUAGAAAUUAUAAUUAAUAUUUAGUAUUUAUACCAAGCAAUAAUCAACAAUUUAAAACAUUUGACAAAAACAAAAAUUAAAUACAAAUGUUAUAUUUUUUGUAACAUUUUUAUAAAUUGUCUUCACUUUAUUAUCGAUUGUAAUUUAAGAAUUGAUUUGAAUGUGUAAAUAACAAUACUUAUUAUCA
rnacentral:misc_RNA from 1 species